AAGUGGCGGCUACAACUCCAGAUACGACGUCAACGUCCAAGGCAGAUGACGGAAGUAAUAGUGCCAGUCACAUCUGUUCUUCAGCAAACUUCUACUUCUGGGUCAGACAGCCACUCCUCUUCCUCGCUCUCGCUGCGGAAACACAGGCAUGGGCCCGCUUCUCGUAGCCGUCGCCGUCGUAGGAAAGAAGCAGACACUGAGGGAGAAUUUUAAAGACUUCAAAGAGCCCGAGUGGACUACCACAUCCCUGUAGCUGGCAGUCCUAUAGCUGGCGGUCCUACUUGUCCAUUUACAAACAUUGGCUCCUCUCUGAAAAGGUCACCCUGCUUUUCAGACAGAAUUUGUGACUCUCACCAGCUGGGAAUACUUUGGAACUGAAGAGAACCUAUUAGGAGAGAGAAAACAGAGUCAUUAUUAAGCCAAAAAAAAAAAAAAAAAAAUGGAGAAAAGAUUCACCUCUAAAUUUUAUUUAAUGACAACAAAAACACAACAUUUCUCUUUGAUUCAUAAUGUUAAUAAAUUCUACUUAUCGUUUGCAAUAAUUCCAAGGUGUUCUAAAGACACUUUAAUAUUAGAAAAGAGUUUCAUAUUAGUUUGAAUUACUUUAGGAAAGAAAUGCCCUAUUCCACCACUACAAGUUAUGGGGAAAUCUAUAGCAGAACAUUUUGUACUCUCACUAAUGAAGAAAGAACCCAAUAAGGAUUGCUGUAUUUUGGAGAUUAGGGAAUUUUGUUUACACUCACAAUAAAACAUUAAGCUACUACGUCAGAGAA